GACGAACGCUGGCGGCGUGCUUAACACAUGCAAGUCGAACGGAAAGGCCCUGCUCUUGUGGGGUGCUCGAGUGGCGAACGGGUGAGUAACACGUGAGUAACCUCCCCUUGACUUUGGGAUAACUCCAGGAAACUGGGGCGAAUACCGGAUAGGAGCUCCUGCUCCAUGGUGUGCGUUGGAAAGUUUCGGCGGUGGUGGAUGGUCUCGCGGCUUAUCAGCUUGUUGGUGGGGUAGUGGCUUACCAAGGCUUUGACGGGUAGCCGGCCUGAGAGGGUGACCGGGCACAUUGGGCCUGAGAUACGGCCCAGACUCCUACGGGAGGCAGCGGUGGGGAAUAUUGCACAAUAGGUGGAAGCCUGAUGCAGCAACGCCGCGUGCGGGAUGACGGCCUUCGGGUUGUAAACCGCUUUCGACUGUGACGAAGCGUGAGUGACGGUAAUGGGUAAAGAAGCAACGGCUAACUACGUG
rnacentral:rRNA from 1 species